rnacentral:miRNA from 1 species
AAUACAAGAUGCCCAGUUCAAUUCGAACUUCACAACAAAUAAUGGCUUAGUAUAAGUAUGUUCCAUGCAAUAUUUGGGACAUACUUAUGCGAAUUUAUUUUAAUUGUUUAUGUGAAAUUCAAAUUUAAGUAGGCAUUCUCUAUUUU